UACGGGAGGCAGCAGUGAGGAAUAUUGGUCAAUGGUCGAGAGACUGAACCAGCCAAGUAGCGUGCAGGAUGACGGCCCUAUGGGUUGUAAACUGCUUUUAUGCGGGGAUAAAGUGCGCCACGCGUGGUGUUUUGUAGAUAGNCGCAUGAAUAAGGACCGGCUAAUUACCGUGCCAGCAGCCGCGGUAAU
rnacentral:rRNA from 1 species